GGGCCUUACCCGGCCAGGCGCCGGAGUCCACGCUCCACCGCCGCUGAGGGGCGUUCGGGCGCCACCGAGCAGCCCAAAUUGAAACUCCGAGAGGCUCGGGACUAAAGCUGAAGGGGCAGGUAGAGGGGCCGCCCGGCGGUCCUAGACCAUCCUAGCAAAUCUGGGGCGAGGGAAGGGUUGUCAGUUGGCCGAUUGGGAGCGGCUUCGGGAGCGAAGGAGCUGCUUUUCGGCGAGGCCCCUCGGGAGUGAAAGUUCCUCGAAUCAAGCGUAAACUGGGGCCCCCUCUGGGAUGGUGUAAACUUAUUCAGCUUCAAAUGCAGCCCAGUAUCCUGCCCUAAGUUCCAGAGGACCAUUUUCCACAUGAAAAGUCUUAUGGAUAGACAAACUUCCAUUCAAACCAAUGUCAAGCUUUCAUUGCAAGAAAGUAGCAGCCGUGUUUAAGGGCUUGUUUCUGGCUAUGUUAAAGGACCAUCCUCUGAGGAAAGCAGAGGAGAGGAACUCCAUUAUCCUUACAGUGAAACGCAGCCACUGCAGAAAAACUCCGCUGAGUUCGCUCCAAAUGCUCAUCUUCUUCUUCGGCCCUGGAUGUCAGACAAACAGGACAAACAGGAAACAAAAUUAUUUUUCUUCGUGGAGGGCAGAGCAGCAGCACUCCCCCGUCGCCCAGUAUUUGGAUCCCCAGCGGGAAUGGGGAGCACCAGGCCAGCGGGAGGCUGCCCCGGCCCUCCCCGCGACCUCUGGAUUGAACUUUCCGCACACUUCUCGGCCCCUCGGCAGGUGGCCCAGCCUCGACCCGACCCCACUGCCCACUCACUGCUUCUCCUGCGCGUCCAGGUCCCUGACGAGCGCAUCGCGCUUGUUCACCAGGGCCACCAGCUCGUCUAGCAGGAGCUGCUCCCGUCGCUUCUGGGCCUCGGUCUUCUGCCAGUCUGCAGAAGACGGGAGGCUAGUUACCCACCGGCAGGGCCUCCGAACACCCGGCCCCCCGCCCUCCCCUUCCCGCCUUUUCCAGUUUCCUUAUACUUCUCAGCAAACCACAUUAUAGAGCCACUAGCUAGUGUUUUCUGGGGAGUUUGGCUGUUGUGGUGAAGGCUUCCUCGCUAAAACUCUACUUCCUAAACAGGUCCUGUGAAUGGAGAUGGCUGCGGCAGGGUUGAAGCCUACUUAGAACCAGGUGUGAACUGGUGGCUAGCCUGAGGUGCGCACCUGAAUCCAGCCAAAGUGGGGGAGGGGAGCUAGAGGCCCAGAAGAGGUUGGCCCAGGGGUUGGUAGUGGGGGAAGUGGGUAAAUGAGGAGGCGGGAAACAGUGAUGGGCGAUAAAAUCAUUCUGAAAAGGCUAGAGAAUCUGCCUGAGAACCUAUCCUCCUCCCCCACCCCCACUCUCACCCCAAACAGCCCAUUCUUCGCUAAUUUCCUCUUCGCUCUAUUUUAGCAGUUGGAUGUAUCUCACACUGGGCGCCAUAUGCUUCACAAUAACUUUAAAAGUAGUGAAUCGGCUAAUUAGCAUUUUUCUUUGAAGUAAAAAAUAAAUUUGCUCUGCAAUAUUACACUGCAGCUCUCGAUCGCAUCACAGCCAGUUUUCUUUUGGAGACGUUUGCUGGGUGGUUUCAAAUCAAAGCACUUUUGCAAAGGAAAAAUUACAUAUUUCUUUUUGAAACCCUAUGUUAAAGGUUGGAAAACCCGAUGGGCAGUGCUCUUUCCAUGGAUGGGGGGCGUUUUUUUUGGAAGGUUUUAGACCCCAAUAAUAUAUUUCCUAAUCUUUGCUGGUCUGAUGAUUUCCUUAAGAUGAGCAGCAGUUUCAUUUAAUAAAAACAGGACCAAAUCGAACAUUUAAAACACUUUUGAAACCAAAGCCAACUGCUCUCUGGCCAGACUGUAAGGGCUUGUAGCUGUCAAUCAACCCCCAGUCUACCCCGCCUCCCUCAUUAGGAAGGUAAACAAUGAAAAGAAGAAGUAGAUGAUGAGGCAGAUAGCAGAACAAAUGAGGACCUAGAGGGAAACAGGACACCAGCUUAAAAAAAAAAAAAAAAAAAAAAAAAAAAAAAAAAAAAAAAAAAA
rnacentral:antisense_RNA from 1 species